rnacentral:rRNA from 1 species
UGAACUUAGUGGCGGACGGGUGAGUAACGCGUGAGCAACCUGCCUUUCAGAGGGGGAUAACAUUUGGAAACAGAUGCUAAUACCGCAUAAGAUUACAGUACCGCAUGAUACAGUGAUCAAAGGAGCAAUCCGCUGAAAGAUGGGCUCGCGUCCGAUUAGAUAGUUGGUGAGGUAACGGCUCACCAAGUCGACGAUCGGUAGCCGGACUGAGAGGUUGAACGGCCACAUUGGGACUGAGACACGGCCCAGACUCCUACGGGAGGCAGCAGUGGGGAAUAUUGCACAAUGGGCGAAAGCCUGAUGCAGCAACGCCGCGUGAGGGAAGACGGUUUUCGGAUUGUAAACCUCUGUUUUCGGUGACGAACAAAUGACGGUAACCGAGUGGGAAGCCACGGCUAACUACGUGCCAGCAGCCGCGGUAAUACGUAGGUGGCAAGCGUUAUCCGGAAUUACUGGGUGUAAAGGGAGCGCAGGCGGGAUAGCAAGUCAGCUGUGAAAACUAUGGGCUCAACCCAUAAACUGCAGUUGAAACUGUUAUUCUUGAGUGGAGUAGAGGCAAGCGGAAUUCCGAGUGUAGCGGUGAAAUGCGUAGAUAUUCGGAGGAA